ACCAGUGACGAUGCAGGACUUUGAAAAUGCGAUGCGCAAAUUGAAGCGCAGUGUUUCGGAAACAGGUCGUGAAUUGGCAAAA
rnacentral:rRNA from 1 species